rnacentral:rRNA from 1 species
UACAGAGGUCUCAACCGUUGUUCGGAUUCAUUGGGCGUAAAGGGUGCGUAGGUGGCGCCGUAAGUCAGGUGUGAAAUUUCGGAGCUUAACUCCGAAACUGCAUUUGAUACUGCGGUGCUUGAGGACUGGAGAGGAGACUGGAAUUCACGGUGUAGCAGUGAAAUGCGUAGAUAUCGUGAGGAAGACCAGUGGCGAAGGCGGGUCUCUGGACAGUUCCUGACACUGAGGCACGAAGGCCAGGGGAGCAAACGGG